rnacentral:tRNA from 1 species
GGAACCGUGCCUGAAUUCCUAAGGACCACUUUGAUAGAGUGACUCAUGGGGGUUAAAGUCCCCCCAGUUCCU